rnacentral:rRNA from 1 species
GAUAUGUGAAUACAUAGCAUAUCAGAAGGCACACCCGGAGAACUGAAACAUCUUAGUACCCGGAGGAAGAGAAAGAAAAUUCGAUUCCCUUAGUAGCGGCGAGCGAAACGGGAAGAGCCCAAACCAACAAGCUUGCUUGUUGGGGUUGUAGGACACUCUAUACGGAGUUACAAAGGACGACAUUAGACGAAUCAUCUGGAAAGAUGAAUCAAAGAAGGUAAUAAUCCUGUAGUCGAAAAUGUUGUCUCUCUUGAGUGGAUCCUGAGUACGACGGAGCACGUGAAAUUCCGUCGGAAUCUGGGAGGACCAUCUCCUAAGGCUAAAUACUCUCUAGUGACCGAUAGUGAACCAGUACCGUGAGGGAAAGGUGAAAAGCACCCCGGAAGGGGAGUGAAAUAGAACCUGAAACCGUGUGCUUACAA